rnacentral:rRNA from 1 species
AUUGAACGCUGGCGGCAUGCCUUACACAUGCAAGUCGAACGGUAACAGGUCUUCGGAUGCUGACGAGUGGCGAACGGGUGAGUAAUACAUCGGAACGUGCCCGACCGUGGGGGAUAACGAAGCGAAAGCUUUGCUAAUACCGCAUAAGAUCUACGGAUGAAAGCAGGGGACCGCAAGGCCUUGCGCGAACGGAGCGGCCGAUGGCAGAUUAGGUAGUUGGUGGGAUAAAAGCUUACCAAGCCGACGAUCUGUAGCUGGUCUGAGAGGACGACCAGCCACACUGGGACUGAGACACGGCCCAGACUCCUACGGGAGGCAGCAGUGGGGAAUUUUGGACAAUGGGCGAAAGCCUGAUCCAGCCAUGCCGCGUGCAGGAUGAAGGCCUUCGGGUUGUAAACUGCUUUUGUACGGAACGAAAAGACUCUUUCUAAUAAAGAGGGUCCAUGACGGUACCGUAAGAAUAAGCACCGGCUAACUACGUGCCAGCAGCCGCAGUAAUAC